GCGUGAGGCAGCGCAUGGCACCCGGACAGGGUGCGGGGAAGAGGUCCCCGGCUGGGGCUUCAGGGUGCGAUUAGCCCAACGCGGAGUUGCCUGUCUGGCGGAGGCGGAGGACUUCAUUCUGUUUACUUCACGUGCGGUGGGACCGUCGUCACAAACCGGCCAGAAGGACGCAUUUCUGGAGCCGCAGGCAGUGGCUCAGCGAGCCCGGAGCCAGGAGGUUCAUUCCACAGCGCCGUCCUGAGCCCCUGCUUUUAUUUCUUCACGCCUUUCCUUCUCUGUCUCUAGCUUUCUUUUCCCGAACUCCUGUGUUUCCACAAUGCUAAAAGUUUGCCAAAAAACGUUGCUGCCACCUGGAAUCUUAUUAAUCUCAGCUCAUCUUCCUUUUCCUCCCCUUACCCUCCCGUUGCUUUCCGUGCAUAUUUAAGUUCUUGCAGAGAGAGGGCGCCGGGGUUGGUGCAAAGGCCCUGGGGUUUGGUGUCAGACUCACCAGGUUUGAAUCUCUGCUUGCCCUCCUAGCUGGGUGACCUCAGGUGUCUGUUACCAAGGAUCUGUAGGGGGUGAGCAAUCCAAGCCGAGGUGGAAGAAGACGGGAUCAGGAGGAGGCUCUAAGUAGAGCCCUGUGGAAUUCAUCUGGGGCAACAUAGGCCACUCAGUGUU